rnacentral:rRNA from 2 species
UGGGCGUAAGCGCGCGCAGGCGGUUCCUUAAGUCUGAUGUGAAAGCCCCCGGCUCAACCGGGGAGGGUCAUUGGAAACUGGGGAACUUGAGUGCAGAAGAGAAGAGUGGAAUUCCACGUGUAGCGGUGAAAUGCGUAGAGAUGUGGAGGAACACCAGUGGCGAAGGCGACUCUUUGGUCUGUAACUGACGCUGAGGCGCGAAAGCGUGGGGAGCAAACAGGAUUAGAUACCCUGGUAGUCCACGCCGUAAACGAUGAGUGCUAAGUGUUAGAGGGUUUCCGCCCUUUAGAGCUGCAGCAAACGCAUUAGGCACUCCGCCU